UGAUGAGGUGCAUGUCAUCGGCGGCGCAGGCAGCCAAAACGACGACGGCGUCAAAGGUGUCGGAUUGUGCUCAAAUUCGGUCGGGAGUUGCGGAACGUGCCUACGACCGAUAAUCAUUGCUAUGCCAUGACCGGUGAUGUAUUUUGGGCAUCCGAGGUCGUCUGAGGGGCGAAAAUGCCAGGUACUGAUGAGGUGCGUGUCAUCGGCGGCGCAGGCAGCCAAAACGACGACGGCGUCAAAGGUGUCGGAUUGUGCUCAAAUUCGGUCGGGAGUUGCGGAACGUGCCUACUACCGAUACUCAUGGCAAUGCCAUGACCGGCGAUGUAUUUUGGGCAUCCGAGGUCGUCCGAGGGGCGAAAAUGCCAGGUACUGAUGAGGUGCAUGUCAUCGGCGGCGCAGGCAGCCAAAACGACGACGGCGUCAAAGGUGUCGGAUUGUGCUCAAAUUCGGUCGGGAGUUGCGGAACGUGCCUACGACCGAUAAUCAUUGCUAUGCCAUGACCGGUGAUGUAUUUUGGGCAUCCGAGGUCGUCUGAGGGGCGAAAAUGCCAGGUACUGAUGAGGUGCGUGUCAUCGGCGGCGCAGGCAGCCAAAACGACGACGGCGUCAAAGGUGUCGGAUUGUGCUCAAAUUCGGUCGGGAGUUGCGGAACGUGCCUACGACCGAUAAUCAUUGCUAUGCCAUGACCGGUGAUGUAUUUUGGGCAUCCGAGGUCGUCUGAGGGGCGAAAAUGCCAGGUACUGAUGAGGUGCGUGUCAUCGGCGGCGCAGGCAGCCAAAACGACGACGGCGUCAAAGGUGUCGGAUUGUGCUCAAAUUCGGUCGCGAGUUGCGGAACGUGCCUACUACCGAUACUCAUGGCAAUGCCAUGACCGGCGAUGUAUUUUGGGCAUCCGAGGUCGUCCGAGGGGCGAAAAUGCCAGGUACUGAUGAGGUGCAUGUCAUCGGCGGCGCAGGCAGCCAAAACGACGACGGCGUCAAAGGUGUCGGAUUGUGCUCAAAUUCGGUCGGGAGUUGCGGAACGUGCCUACGACCGAUAAUCAUUGCUAUGCCAUGACCGGUGAUGUAUUUUGGGCAUCCGAGGUCGUCUGAGGGGCGAAAAUGCCAGGUACUGAUGAGGUGCGUGUCAUCGGCGGCGCAGGCAGCCAAAACGACGACGGCGUCAAAGGUGUCGGAUUGUGCUCAAAUUCGGUCGGGAGUUGCGGAACGUGCCUACUACCGAUACUCAUGGCAAUGCCAUGACCGGCGAUGUAUUUUGGGCAUCCGAGGUCGUCCGAGGGGCGAAAAUGCCAGGUACUGAUGAGGUGCAUGUCAUCGGCGGCGCAGGCAGCCAAAACGACGACGGCGUCAAAGGUGUCGGAUUGUGCUCAAAUUCGGUCGGGAGUUGCGGAACGUGCCUACGACCGAUAAUCAUUGCUAUGCCAUGACCGGUGAUGUAUUUUGGGCAUCCGAGGUCGUCUGAGGGGCGAAAAUGCCAGGUUACUGUCCUGAUACACAAAAGUUACUGUUGUAUAUAAAGGAAGUCACUGUUCUGGUUCAUCGUAGAUACUGUUAUAAUUCUUCG